AAAAAAACAAAGCUUAGAUUUUCGUGUCUAACAUUUUAUUGUUCGUCUUAUAUAAAUUUUUUUUAUAAUUAGUAUUUUCAUUGUUGUUAGAUGAUAAAACAUGAUUAAUAUUUUAUGGAUAACUUGUCUUUUUUAAUUUUUUUUCAAAUAAUAUGGACGGUUAAACGUUGGACACGGAAACCUAU
rnacentral:pre_miRNA from 1 species